CUGAAGGCAGCACUGUUGGCUUCCCUACUUUUGAGGUUUUGGGACUCAGAAUGACUUCCUUGCUCCUCAGCUUGCAGGUGCCCUACUGUGGGACUUCACCUUGUGAUCAUAAAUGUGAAAAGUGCACAAAGCAUCUAUGAACCCACAGGACUUCUGUCAACAUGGAUUUCAAAGGCAAUAGCCCUGUCUCAGAGAGAAGUCUUUCUUUCAAGCCGGAGCAGCCUUGUGGAUUCUGUGCAGGGGAUGAAUUAGAGUAAAGAGCCUCAGCCAUGUUUCCUGGAGCAAUUAGAGCC
rnacentral:lncRNA from 10 species